UUUACUGCACCAGAAUCUUGCAAAACAUCCAAAACAGAGAGGAAAGCUUAAAAUACACAGAGAACUUCAUUAUUGCAAAGAAAAGUCUGACAGCAGCCACUGAAGUCAACAGAAAACAUUUCACAGGCUCUGUGACUGUUCAAAUCAAAGCUUCCUAAUAACAAAUUAUUAAAAAUAUGACCCUCAUGGUUUGUUUUUUCCCCCUCUAGAUGCAAGUCCUUAGAUGACCAAUGACAGACUCAAAGAUGUGUCCAUAAUCCCUGGGCUGGCAGGGAUGAUUAGUGUGGACUUGAGGCAGAGAUCAGUCUCACUUUAAGACGAGCCUGCUGCAUUAUAUUGAAAUAGAUCCUGAAAAGCCACAAAUAAGAACACACAGUACCAAAACACACAGUACAUUGGAAAUACCUCCCCAUCCCUUUUUAUAGGGCCCAUAAAUCUUUUAAUAAAUAAGUAAAUCACAGAGGGACCAAUGGCACUGGCAAACCAAGAGGUAGUUUUUGUAACAGAGCAGCUCUGGCACAGCUCUGGCACCUGAGCCAGGUGUGGGCCAAGCCCAGGGACAAAAGCUCAGGCACAGAGAGCUGGGCUGGGCUGGGCUGGGGGGGCUGCAGGGGCUCAGGGCACACAGAACUGACCCUGUGCUCCCCCCUCUCCCAGCACCAACACUGGGACCCCCACAACAGGGCAGGGCUCAGGAAGGGAUCAUUGAUUCCUCUGCUUGUGCUGGGCUGUCCCAGCAGAUGUGAGUGAGUACCUGGUUCAGGUGUGUACCUGGCUCAGGUGUGAGUGUGUACCUGGCUCAGGUGUGUAGCUGGCUCAGGUGUGAGUGUGUACCUAGAUCAGGUGUGUACCUGGCUCAGGUGUGAAUGUGUACCUGGCUCAGGUGUGUGUGUACCUGGCUCAGGUGUGGGUAUACCUGGCUGUUCAGGGGGCAGCAGUGGAAGGGAAGCUGCUCUCAGGGCUGGGAUUUCCUGCAAACACCUGGCACCUGCUGCAGGGUGUGAGCCUGCUCUGGGCUGGGCUGCACGCUGCAGCUCUGAGGCAGCUCUGGUUUGGAAUGGUCAGCAGGACAGCAGUGCAUGCUGCAGCUUGUGUGAAAAGCCCCC